CUACGGGCCGCUGCAGUGGGGAAUAUUGGACAAUGGACCAAAAGUCUGAUCCAGCAAUUCUGUGUGCACGAUGACGGUCUUCGGAUUGUAAAGUGCUUUCAGUUGGGAAGAAAAAAAUGACGGUACCAACAGAAGAAGCGACGGCUAAAUACGUGCCAGCAGCCGCGGUAAUACGUAUGUCGCAAGCGUUAUCCGGAUUUAUUGGGCGUAAAGCGCGUCUAGGUGGUUUGAUAAGUCUGAGUGAAAAUGCGGGGCUCAACUCCGUAUUGCGUUGGAAACUGUCAAACUAGAGUAUCGGAGAGGUGGGCGGAACUACAAGUGUAGAGGUGAAAUUCGUAGAUAUUUGUAGGAAUGCCGAUAGAGAAGUCAGCUCACUGGACGAAUACUGACACUGAAGCGCGAAAGCAUGGGGAGCAAACAGGAUUAGAUACCCUCGUAGUC
rnacentral:rRNA from 1 species